AUUGAACGCUGGCGGCAGGCCUAACACAUGCAAGUCGAGCGGAUGAAGGGAGCUUGCUCCUGGAUUCAGCGGCGGACGGGUGAGUAAUGCCUAGGAAUCUGCCUGGUAGUGGGGGAUAACGUCCGGAAACGGGCGCUAAUACCGCAUACGUCCUGAGGGAGAAAGUGGGGGAUCUUCGGACCUCACGCUAUCAGAUGAGCCUAGGUCGGAUUAGCUAGUUGGUGGGGUAAAGGCCUACAAAGGCGACGAUCCGUAACUGGUCUGAGAGGAUGAUCAGUCACACGGGAACGGAGACACGGUCCAGGGUCCUACGGGAGGCGGCAGUGGGGAGUAUUGGACAAUGGGGGCAAGGGUGAUCCAGCCAUAGCGCGUGGGUGGAGAAGGCCUUCGGGUUGUAAAGCCGUUUUAUUAGGAAAGAAAAGCAGCAGGUGAAGACCACGCUGUUCUGACGGUGCCCGAAGAAUAAGCAACGGCUAACUUCGUG
rnacentral:rRNA from 1 species